GAUGAACGCUGGCGGCGUGCCUAAUACAUGCAAGUCGAGCGAAUGGAUUAAGAGCUUGCUCUUAUGAAGUUAGCGGCGGACGGGUGAGUAACACGUGGGUAACCUGCCCAUAAGACUGGGAUAACUCCGGGAAACCGGGGCUAAUACCGGAUAACAUUUUGAACCGCAUGGUUCGAAAUUGAAAGGCGGCUUCGGCUGUCACUUAUGGAUGGACCCGCGUCGCAUUAGCUAGUUGGUGAGGUAACGGCUCACCAAGGCAACGAUGCGUAGCCGACCUGAGAGGGUGAUCGGCCACACUGGGACUGAGACACGGCCCAGACUCCUGCGGGAGGCAGCAGUAGGGAAUCUUCCGCAAUGGACGAAAGUCUGACGGAGCAACGCCGCGUGAGUGAUGAAGGCUUUCGGGUCGUAAAACUCUGUUGUUAGGGAAGAACAAGUGCUAAUUGAAUAAGCUGGCACCUUGACGGUACCUAACCAGAAAGCCACGGCUAACUACGUGCCAGCCGCCGCCGUAA
rnacentral:rRNA from 1 species